rnacentral:rRNA from 1 species
UUUUUUUUUUUUUAAAAAAGUUAAAUAAAUGAUGAGAAAAAAUAAAAAUAGUUAAAUAAAAUAUUAGUAAAAAUUUAUAGAAAUUUUUAGUAUAAUAAAAAAAAAAUAAAAAAUUUAUAGAUAAAUAAGUAUUGAAAAAAAAAUAUGAAAAAAUAAAUUUUUAAAAUAAGUAAAGUAAUAUUUAUUGUGUAUCUUGUGUAUCAGAGUUUAUUAAAAAAAAAUUAUUUUAAAAUAAAAAUUUAGAAUUUAAAAGAGUUAAAUUUUUAUAAUAGUUAUUGUUAUAAAAAUAUUAUAAAUAAAAAUUUAGAAAUUAAAUGUUAUUCGGGUUUAAAUUUAUCUAAUUUUUAAAGAAAUAAAUUAAAAUUAAUUUUUAAUUAAAAUAAAAUAUUGAUAAGAUUUUUGUUAAAAUUUAAUAUUUUAUAAAAUUGUGAAAAUUAAAAGGAAAAUUAUUUAGGGAUAAUCUUAAUUAAUUUUUAUUAAAAGAUAAAAAAUUGAAUUUUAAAAAUUAUAAGAAUAGAAUUAUUUAUUUAAAUUUAAUUUUUUAUAAAAAAUUUUAAAUUGAUAAAAUUUUAAUUUGUAAAAAUUUAAUGUAAAAAUUUAUUUAAAUAAUUUUUAAAAUUUUUAAAAAAUGGAAAUUAUAAUAAAAUUAGUAUAAUGAUUUAUAUAUAUAAAAAUAGUAAAAUAAUUUUUAAAUAAAUAAAAUUUAUGAAUUCGACAAAAUUUAAGUUCGCUUGUUUAAUAAAAACAUGUCUUUUUGAAAGUUAUUAAAAGGUUUAAUCUGCCCACUGAUAUGAAUUAAAGGGCCGCAAUAUAAUUGUGCAAAGGUAGCAUAAUCAUUAGUUUUUUGAUUGAAAACUGGUAUGAAUGAUUGGACGAAAUUUAUAUUUUAUUAAAUUUAAAAAAUUAAAAUUUAAUUUUUUAGUUAAAAAGCUAAAAUAAAUUUAAAAGACGAGAAGACCCUAUAGAUUUUUAUAUUAUUAUAAGUAAGUUAUAUAUAUGAAAAAUAAGUUUGAUUUAUUUAUAGGCUAUUAAUAGUUUAAUAAAUAAGUGUAAAAUGUAUAUUGUAUUUAAAAUUAAUAUUUUAUUGGGGUGAUAUAAAAAUUUGAUUAACUUUUUAAAUUUAAAAAAAAUCAAAGAUGGUUGUAGGUAAAGGAAAUAUAUAAAAUCAAAAAAUUAAAAAAAUCUAAAUUCUUAAAAUUAGAUUAAAAUACCUUAGGGAUAACAGCGUAAUUUUAGUUUUAAGUUCAUAUUGAAAUUAAAGAUUGCGACCUCGAUGUUGAAUUAAAAUUUAUAUUAAAUGCAAAAGUUUAAAUAUUGGGUCUGUUCGACCUUUAAAAUUUUACAUGAUUUGAGUUUAAACCGGUGUGAGCCAGGUUGGUUUCUAUCUUUAAGAAAGAAGAAUGAUUUAGUACGAAAGGAAUAGUUAUUUAAUAUAAUUAAUUUUUUAAAAGAUUAUUAAUAAUAAGUUAAUUUGAUAAAAAA